AUUGAACGCUGGCGGCAUGCCUAACACAUGCAAGUCGAACGGUAACAGAACCAGCUUGCUGGUUGCUGACGAGUGGCGGACGGGUGAGGAAUAUAUAGGAACUUGCCUAGUAGCGGGGGAUAACCUGUGGAAACGCAGGCUAAUACCGCAUACGCUCUACGGAGGAAAGCAGGGGAUCUUCGGACCUUGCGCUAUUAGAUAGGCCUAUAUUGGAUUAGCUUGUUGGUGAGGUAAUGGCUUACCAAGGCAACGAUCCAUAGCUGGUUUGAGAGAAUGAUCAGCCACACUGGGACUGAGACACGGCCCAAACUCCUACGGGAGGCAGCAGUGGGGAAUCUUCUGCAAUGGGCGCAAGCCUGACAGAGCGGCGUCAUGUGAAGGAAGAAGGCCUGAAAUAGGUUGUAAACUUCUUUUACUGAGUAAUGAAUACUGACAACGCAGUAAAAAAGUAUCGGCUAACUCCGUGCCAGCCGCCGCCGUAAAAC
rnacentral:rRNA from 1 species